rnacentral:rRNA from 1 species
UGGGGAAUAUUGCACAAUGGGCGCAAGCCUGAUGCAGCGACGCCGCGUGAGGGAUGGAGGCCUUCGGGUUGUAAACCUCUUUCGCCAGUGAAGCAGGCCAUCUUCUUUGUGGGGUGGUUGACGGUAGCUGGAUAAGAAGCGCCGGCUAACUACGUGCCAGCAGCCGCGGUAAUACGUAGGGCGCGAGCGUUGUCCGGAAUUAUUGGGCGUAAAGAGCUCGUAGGCGGCUGGUCGCGUCUGUCGUGAAAUCCCCUGGCUUAACUGGGGGCUUGCGGUGGGUACGGGCCCGCUUGAGUGCGGUAGGGGAGACUGGAAUUCCUGGUGUAGCGGUGGAAUGCGCAGAUAUCAGGAGGAACACCGGUGGCGAAGGCGGGUCUCUGGGCCGUUACUGACGCUGAGGAGCGAAAGCGUGGGGAGCGAACAGG